GAACGCUAGCUACAGGCUUAAUACAUGCAAGUCGAGGGGCAUCAGGAAGAAAGCUUGCUUUCUUUGCUGGCGACCGGCGCACGGGUGAGUAACACGUAUCCAACCUGCCCUUUACUCGGGGAUAGCCUUUCGAAAGAAAGAUUAAUACCCGAUAGCAUAAUGAUUCCGCAUGGUUUCAUUAUUAAAGGAUUCCGGUAAAGGAUGGGGAUGCGUUCCAUUAGGUUGUUGGUGGGGUAACGGCCCACCAAGCCUUCGAUGGAUAGGGGUUCUGAGAGGAAGGUCCCCCACAUUGGAACUGAGACACGGUCCAAACUCCUACGGGAGGCAGCAGUGAGGAAUAUUGGUCAAUGGGCGCUAGCCUGAACCAGCCAAGUAGCGUGAAGGAUGAAGGCUCUAUGGGUCGUAAACUUCUUUUAUAUAAGAAUAAAGUGCAGUAUGUAUACUGUUUUGUAUGUAUUAUAUGAAUAAGGAUCGGCUAACUCCGUGCCAGCAGCCGCGGUAAUACGGAGGAUCCGAGCGUUAUCCGGAUUUAUUGGGUUUAAAGGGAGCGUAGGUGGACUGGUAAGUCAGUUGUGAAAGUUUGCGGCUCAACCGUAAAAUUGCAGUUGAUACUGUCAGUCUUGAGUACAGUAGAGGUGGGCGGAAUUCGUGGUGUAGCGGUGAAAUGCUUAGAUAUCACGAAGAACUCCGAUUGCGAAGGCAGCUCACUGGACUGCAACUGACACUGAUGCUCGAAAGUGUGGGUAUCAAACAGGAUUAGAUGCCCUGGUAGUCCACACAGUAAACGAUGAAUACUCGCUGUUUGCGAUAUACAGUAAGCGGCCAAGCGAAAGCAUUAAGUAUUCCACCUGGGGAGUACGCCGGCAACGGUGAAACUCAAAGGAAUUGACGGGGGCCCGCACAAGCGGAGGAACAUGUGGUUUAAUUCGAUGAUACGCGAGGAACCUUACCCGGGCUUAAAUUGCAGUGGAAUGAUGUGGAAACAUGUCAGUGAGCAAUCACCGCUGUGAAGGUGCUGCAUGGUUGUCGUCAGCUCGUGCCGUGAGGUGUCGGCUUAAGUGCCAUAACGAGCGCAACCCUUAUCUUCAGUUACUAACAGGUCAUGCUGAGGACUCUGGAGAGACUGCCGUCGUAAGAUGUGAGGAAGGUGGGGAUGACGUCAAAUCAGCACGGCCCUUACGUCCGGGGCUACACACGUGUUACAAUGGGGGGUACAGAAGGCAGCUAGCGGGUGACCGUAUGCUAAUCCCAAAAGCCUCUCUCAGUUCGGAUCGAAGUCUGCAACCCGACUUCGUGAAGCUGGAUUCGCUAGUAAUCGCGCAUCAGCCACGGCGCGGUGAAUACGUUCCCGGGCCUUGUACACACCGCCCGUCAAGCCAUGGGAGCCGGGGGUACCUGAAGUACGUAACCGCAAGGAUCGUCCUAGGGUAAAACUGGUGACUGGGGC
rnacentral:rRNA from 1 species